rnacentral:rRNA from 1 species
UACGUAGGGACCAAGCGUUGUCCGGAUUUAUUGGGCGUAAAGAGCUCGUAGGCGGCCCUCCACGUCGGAUGUGAAAGCUCAGGGCUCAACCCUGAGAUGCCAUUCGAUACGGGAAGGCUAGAGGUAGGUAGGGGAAAGUGGAAUUCCUGGUGUAGCGGUGAAAUGCGCAGAUAUCAGGAGGAACACCGGUGGCGAAGGCGGCCUGCUGGGCUGCACCUGACGCUGAGCCGCGAAAGCCAGGGGAGCGAACGGG